UUCAAAGCAAAAGAAAUCUGCAUUUAUUAUCAAACAGAGGUCUUGGCUUAGCAACAGUUUUAUAGAAUGGGAAUGGAUGAUACUGUGAUCGAAUUUCUGAGAGUUGUUUCAUGCGAAUCUGCACUACUCUUGGCAUCUCGAUAUGACAACAACAAGGAAGCGGAGAUGGCCAGUUGCUGGUGGUGUUUGGUGGUCUGAAAUGUGGGACUGAUCUGAAAUUUGAGAUGGAAAUGAAGAAGGAAUUAGGGGGUCUUGUAUGCAAUCCAAGUCUGGAUCAAAAUGGUAUCUCGUGGUAUUCAAUUGAGAAGAAAUUGGCUCGAUCUGAGAUGUGAAUUAGGUCUGAAUUUUGGGGGUUUCGAAAUUAAAUGAAGAAGCACCAGUCUGUUGUGGUUUUUGAGCUCGAGUUAAGGUUGGAAUUCCGUAGAGAAAACAGGGAGACUGAAACAGAUUUGGGGUUUGUUACCCCAACUGAGUUUGGGGGAUUAAAUGGUGGCGGUACAGGUCGUGAGAGUGAAUGAAGAUGGGUUUGCUGCUGAUGAGAUGUUCAUGACUGCAACAUUUUUGUAUCUCAACUGAUGGUUAAUUGAGAGCUGUAAGAAGAUAAUUGAGACGUCAGUCGACAUCAAUUCCUGAAGAAUGCCAUGAAAUCAGAGCCGGGGUCAAUUGGUGGCGGUUAAAGCAACAUCAAGAUAUAAAUGUACCAAUUACAAUAUUUCAAGGUGUCUGAUAUUCAGUAUCAAAAGAGUUAGCAGUGGAGUCUUAAUGGAUGUUCGAACCGAGGACGAGAUUGCAGUCAGUUGUGAUGUUUCUGUUAGUCGUGUGUAUAUGGAGGAAGCAUGAAAUUUCAGUUGCGAUGUGGGUGCUAUAAAGAAGUGGAGUUUGCUGUAUGGAGUGUGUCUGAAAUUGGGUCGAAUUGAUUUCAGUUCCCUGAGCUUUGAAUUCUUGAACUGAUGAUGAAUAAUGGUGAGUGUAUGCCGAUCUGCAGACAUGAAUGGGAUGGAUAAUGAACUGGCAGUAUUGUGGUUGCGUCGUUGUAUGAGAAGGGACAUUGGUCCGGCAGCCUGGAUGUGGAGAUUGUUGGCUGGACUGGGCUCAGGCCUAGGAGUUGGCUAGUGAAGUUGGAGCUGAUAAUGGACUGGGCUUUUCAGGUGCUGGUAUCUGUCACAAGGGAAUUCAGAUGCAUAUAAAUACUGAGGAGAUGAACUAAAAAGAGGAGGCCGUAUACAGGGAAGAAAAAUGUGAAAACUACUGUCAAACCCGUUUUUCCGUUUUUUUCCACUCUCAAACCCACAGGCGUACAAAGUCAUGCGUGCACCCAGUUUGACAGACAAAAUUUCUCUCGGGCCCAUAAUUUCUCAAAUUCCAUUUUCGCUUUGUAUUUAUUCCCAAACUAACCUCUAGAGAGGCGAGACAGAAGGUGAUGAUUUUAUCAACAAAGAGUCGAUGAAGGUCGUCAUCAACAGUGGUUUAUGGUGAUUCAAUCAACAAAGAUGACCUCGCAGAUAAAGUGAAAAGAAAAGCCAAUUCUUUGACGGAAUCUGUAUCAUCAAAACUAAGGUGCGUCCACUGCUAACAAUUUGAACACUGCUAAGUAAAGUACACCACUUUUAAUCUUGUAAAUGUGAGAUUUUUUAAUGUCAUUAUAUAUGCUAACCAUUUACACAUUGUUAAGGACACUACUUAAAUUUUUCUGCAUACUCCGUAAGAAAUCAUAUCGUGUUUUCCUUAUCCUAUAGAAAGUGGGGUGGUAAUUGGUGAUCAAAUGUUACCAUCUAAUCAGAUUUAUAGAAUUAAAUGUGUUUUCUUUCUUCUUUCAAAAUUUUGGAGUAAAUUAAAAAAGAAAAAAAACAUUAUGAGCUACUGUCAAAAUUCAUAUUAAGUUUUUAAGUUCUAAACUUCUAAUUGUACAGAUCCUAUGCAAAUGGUUAAAGCGACCGUUCAAUUUUAGUAAGUGUAUGCUGAAAUGUUAUGUCGAUUAAGCGCUGAGAAAUUAUUCAUGUGGAUAGUAUGCAUAGAUUAUUCAUUUGGGAGUGCAACACUAUUAUUACACAAAGGGACUGUGUACAAACAUUUUUGUAAUUUUAUAUGUCCUAUACGUUUGGAUAUGCAGUCACCGGUGUGAAAGUAAAAUGGAACAAUUAGCGUAACAAUGUGGAUGGAAGAGGAUUCACUAAAUAUGUGAAGGGUGGUGAAACCCCCAGUAGUCAUCCCAAUCAGGGGUUCGGAUCGUUUAAUGGAAAAAUGUUAGAAUUCGGUCUUUAUUUCACUUUCAGUGGGAGAACUUUUGAACUCUAUUCAAGUUGUGGUCGUCUUGUGGUCUCCUCACUGUACUAAUAUGAUCUUCUUGUGGUCUAUUUUUUUCAUUUGGUUUCUCUUGAGUUUUUUCUAGGAACAACAAAUAAAUCAUUCAUUGUUUUCUCUUGAGUUUUUUCUUGCAGAUUGUGAUGGUGGCUGGUACGUAGUGCCACUCUAGUUGAUGAUGAACAACUAAUUGUAUUUUGUUGUAAUCGUAAGACUUAUUAUUUUAUUGUAGUUGAAGGCUUUUUGUAAGUUCACUUUUAUGGUUUUUUA